rnacentral:sRNA from 1 species
ACUCAACACUAUAUAUUUAAAAAGGGUGAGUCUAAGUUAGUAAAGCGUGCCGCUUGUGCCGAAUUUAUUUGGUAUCUCGGAUACUUGAUCAGCUUGUUAGCCCUAAACUUGUCUUACAAGGAGUUU